GCAAGAACAUCUACUGCCCUCAUGAGGCAGAGUUUCGGCAGUACAGCGUGCUCCUGAAGCUCAAUGAUGGAGACAUCCUCCGGGAGGUGCAGCAAUUCCGGGCGGAGCUCCGAAACUCUCCGGAGGUGAAGUUUGCCGUCCAGGCCUUUGCCGCUGUCAACAGCAACAACUUCGUGAGGUUCUUCAAGCUGGUCAAGGUGGCCUCGUAUCUGGCUGGUUGCAUCUUGCACCGCUACUUCGACCAGGUGCGCCGUGAGGCUCUGCGGGCCCUGAAUGUGGCCUACAGCUCCCGUGGUUCCACCACAUUCCCGGUCGAAGACCUGGUCCGGAUGCUCAUGUUC